rnacentral:rRNA from 1 species
GAGUUUGAUCCUGGCUCAGGAUGAACGCUAGCGGCAGGCUUAACACAUGCAAGUCGAGGGGUAACGGGGAAGCUUGCUUCCGCCGACGACCGGCGCACGGGUGCGUAACGCGUAUACAAUCUACCUUAUACUGGGGUAUAGCCUUUAGAAAUGAAGAUUAACCCCCCAUAGUCUCUUAGAGUGGCAUCACUUCUAGAGUAAAGGUUACGGUAUAAGAUGAGUAUGCGUUCUAUUAGUUUGUUGGUGUGGUAACGGCACACCAAGACUACGAUAGAUAGGGGCCCUGAGAGGGGGAUCCCCCACACUGGUACUGAGACACGGACCAGACUCCUACGGGAGGCAGCAGUGAGGAAUAUUGGACAAUGGAGGCAACUCUGAUCCAGCCAUGCCGCGUGCAGGAAGACUGCCCUAUGGGUUGUAAACUGCUUUUAUACAGGAAGAAACACCUCUACGUGUAGAGGCUUGACGGUACUGUAAGAAUAAGGAUCGGCUAACUCCGUGCCAGCAGCCGCGGUAAUACGGAGGAUCCAAGCGUUAUCCGGAAUCAUUGGGUUUAAAGGGUCCGUAGGUGGAUAAUUAAGUCAGAGGUGAAAUCUUGCAGCUCAACUGUAAAAUUGCCUUUGAAACUGGUUAUCUUGAGUUAUUAUGAAGUAGUUAGAAUAUGUAGUGUAGCGGUGAAAUGCAUAGAUAUUACAUAGAAUACCAAUUGCGAAGGCAGAUUACUAAUAAUCAACUGACACUGAUGGACGAAAGCGUGGGUAGCGAACAGGAUUAGAUACCCUGGUAGUCCACGCCGUAAACGAUGGUUACUAGCUGUUUGGACUUCGGUCUGAGUGGCUAAGCGAAAGUGAUAAGUAACCCACCUGGGGAGUACGUUCGCAAGAAUGAAACUCAAAGGAAUUGACGGGGGCCCGCACAAGCGGUGGAGCAUGUGGUUUAAUUCGAUGAUACGCGAGGAACCUUACCAGGGCUUAAAUGUAAGUUGCAUGGGCCAGAGAUGGACCUUUCUUCGGACUACUUACAAGGUGCUGCAUGGUUGUCGUCAGCUCGUGCCGUGAGGUGUCAGGUUAAGUCCUAUAACGAGCGCAACCCCUGUUGUUAGUUGCCAGCGAGUCAUGUCGGGAACUCUAGCAAGACUGCCAGUGCAAACUGUGAGGAAGGUGGGGAUGACGUCAAAUCAUCACGGCCCUUACGUCCUGGGCUACACACGUGCUACAAUGGUAUGGACAAUGAGCAGCCACUAUGCGAAUAGGAGCGAAUCUAUAAACCAUAUCACAGUUCGGAUCGGAGUCUGCAACUCGACUCCGUGAAGCUGGAAUCGCUAGUAAUCGGAUAUCAGCCAUGAUCCGGUGAAUACGUUCCCGGGCCUUGUACACACCGCCCGUCAAGCCAUGGAAGCUGGGAGUGCCUGAAGUCGGUCACCGCAAGGAGCCGCCUAGGGUAAAACUGGUAACUAGGGCUAAGUCGUAACAAGGUAGCCGUACCGGAAGGUGCGGCU